rnacentral:rRNA from 1 species
AACGAGACCUUAACCUGCUAAAUAGCCAGGCUGGCAUUUGCUGGUCGCCGGCUUCUUAGAGGGACUGUCAGUGUCUAACUGACGGAAGUUUGAGGCAAUAACAGGUCUGUGAUGCCCUUAGAUGUUCUGGGCCGCACGCGCGCUACACUGACAGAGCCAGCGAGUUUAUUUUCCUUGGCCGGAAGGUCUGGGUAAUCUUGUGAAACUCU